rnacentral:misc_RNA from 1 species
GAUGAAGAAACGCAGCGAAAUGCGAUACUUGGUGUGAAUUGCAGAAUCCCGUGAACCAUCGAGUCUUUGAACGCAAGUUGCGCCCGAAGCCAUUAGGCCGAGGGCACGCCUGCCUGGGCGUCACACGUCGUUGCCCCCCCCCAUCUACUCCUUCGGGAUUGCGGGGGGCGGAUGAUGGCCUCCCGUGCGCCUCGCCGCGCGGUUGGCAUAAAUGCCAAGUCCUCGGCGACGCACGCCACGACAAUCGGUGGUUGCGAAACCUCGGUUGCCCGUCGUGUGCGGUCGUCGCGCAUCGAGGGCUCGAAAAAAUUGCCGAGUUCCGGCUCGGCUUUCAACGCGACCCCAGGUCAGGCGGGGUUACCCGCUGAAUUUAAGCAUAUCAAUAAGCGGAGGA